AGCCCUUCGGGGUGGAUCAGUGGCGAACGGGUGAGUAACACGUGGGCAAUCUGCCCUGCACUCUGGGACAAGCCCUGGAAACGGGGUCUAAUACCGGAUAUGACCUUCCUCCGCAUGGGGGUGGGUGUAAAGCUCCGGCGGUGCAGGAUGAGCCCGCGGCCUAUCAGCUUGUUGGUGGGGUAAUGGCCCACCAAGGCGACGACGGGUAGCCGGCCUGAGAGGGCGACCGGCCACACUGGGACUGAGACACGGCCCAGACUCCUACGGGAGGCAGCAGUGGGGAAUAUUGCACAAUGGGCGAAAGCCUGAUGCAGCGACGCCGCGUGAGGGAUGACGGCCUUCGGGUUGUAAACCUCUUUCAGCAGGGAAGAAGCGCAAGUGACGGUACCUGCAGAAGAAGCACCGGCUAACUACGUGCCAGCAGCCGCGGUAAUACGUAGGGUGCGAGCGUUGUCCGGAAUUAUUGGGCGUAAAGAGCUCGUAGGCGGCCUGUCGCGUCGGAUGUGAAAGCCCGGGGCUUAACCCCGGGUCUGCAUUCGAUACGGGCAGGCUGGAGUGUGGUAGGGGAGAUCGGAAUUCCUGGUGUAGCGGUGAAAUGCGCAG
rnacentral:rRNA from 1 species